UACGGAGGAUGCAAGCGUCAUCCGGAAUGAUUGGGCGUAAAGCGUCCGCAGGUGGCUGUGUAAGUCUGCUGUUAAAGAGCAAGGCUCAACCUUGUAAAGGCAGUGGAAACUACACGGCUAGAGUGCGUUCGGGGCAGAGGGAAUUCCUGGUGUAGCGGUGAAAUGCGUAGAGAUCAGGAAGAACACCGGUGGCGAAGGCGGCUUCCUGGACCGACACUGACGCUGAGGCGCGAAAGCUAGGGGAGCAAACGGG
rnacentral:rRNA from 1 species